AGCAGCCGCGGUAAUUCCAGCUCCAAUAGCGUAUAUUAAAGUUGCUGCAGUUAAAAAGCUCGUAGUUGAAUUUCGGGACCAUCAUGUCGGUCGUGCCUCGGUACGUACUGGCAUUGUUGGUUUCUACCUUCUGACGAACCAUGAUGUCAUUUAUUUGGUGUCGUGGGAAAUCAGGACUGUUACUUUGAAAAAAUUAGAGUGUUUAAAGCAGGCUCACGCUUGAAUACAUUAGCAUGGAAUAAUGAAAUAGGACGUUUGAUUCUAUUUUGUUGGUUUCUAGGAUCGACGUAAUGAUUAAUAGGGAUAGUUGGGGGCAUUAGUAUUCAAUUGUCAGAGGUGAAAUUCUUGGAUUUAUUGAAGACUAACUACUGCGAAAGCAUUUGCCAAGGAUGUUUUCAUUAAUCAAGAACGAAAGUUAGGGGAUCGAAGACGAUCAGAUACCGUCGUAGUCUUAACCAUAAACUAUGCCGACUAGGGAUCGGAUGAUGUUAAUUUUUUAAUGACUCA
rnacentral:rRNA from 2 species